CUCAAUUUGAAAACAUUUCAACUUUCUGGACAUUUUGACCAUGAUGAUGGCUUGGAAAAAAAUUACUGUGGUGUCCAUGUUUUUCGUGCUAACAGUUUUUGAACCCUGUGAAUCAGAGAUGCUAGAUGAUUUGAUAAAACAGAAUUUACAGAAUUUGAAAAAAAUACAACUUUUACAUAAACAUCAGAUCAACUCUAAAAAUUAUACAGAUAUCUCGUAUACUGGUAAUACGUAAAGAUUUGUCGAUUUAUGAAACAACUAAAGGUGUAUACAAAGUACCGUAUAGAUGUGUUCUAACAUAUUUGUUUUGUUUUCACUACAGGUGCAUCGUCAGAGUCGUAUGUGCGAUGGGGUAGAACUAGUUGUCAUGGUGGUGCAUCACUAGUUUACGAUGGU
rnacentral:lncRNA from 1 species